GACAGAGGUGCCAAGCGUUAGGCGGAAUCACUGGGCUUAAAGCGUGUGUAGGCGGGCGAUCAAGUACCUUGUGAAAUCCCACGGCUCACCCGUGGAACUGCUGGGCAUACUGGCGAUCUUGGGCCAACUAGGGGCAGCCGGAACAAGCGGUGGAGCGGUGAAAUGCGUAGAUAUCGCUUGGAACGCCGAAGGUGAAAACAGGCUGCUGGGGUUGCGCCGACGCUGAGACACGAAAGCCAGGGGAGCAAACGGG
rnacentral:rRNA from 1 species